AAGGAAGGGUCGAGUACAAAGCGAGAUAGGUUCGACUCGACAUACUGUCUGAGAAGAGUAUAGUCGAGAGAUGGAGAUGGAGGAAGAGAAAAAAUCGGAGCCAUCAAAGGAAGUUUGGAGUCGAAGGGAAAAAAAAGAAGAGAGAGUUGAAGAAAAAGACCCUUGAAAAGAAAAAAUGAGAGUGAAAAAAAAGAAGACGAAAGGGCGCAAGAAAAGGGAAGCCGUCGGAGGGAAUUUCGAAAAUGGACUAUGGUAAGGAGAUGAUGGCAGCUAUUAAUGCAUUAAUUAAUGC
rnacentral:lncRNA from 1 species